GGUUUUACCAAUUGCACAAAAUCUUAUUUAUAAAAUUGCAUAAAACCUUAUUUUAUAAGUAUGCAAUAUUUACCAAUCGUAACCAUAAAAUAUAAUAACUCUGCAUGCAUGAGUUGAAAGUAUUAUAUGAUAAUUAUACCCCAGUCCUUAUGAUUACAUUAUUGGUGCAAGACAAUAAUAUGAAUAAUUAUUCUCAUAUGAUUUGAAGUUUGUAACCUUCACAAAUGCUUAUCAUCUAUGAUCUCAUAAUAAUUUGUAACUUUCACUGAUGCUUCUCAUAUAUGAUCAUCUCAUCAUGUGCAAAAGUGACAGAAGCAAGAUAUAUAUUCUUUGCCAUCGCGGCCCUUAGACGAUUCACAUGUACCGUCUUUAAUACCUGGUCUAUCUGUACAAGAUUUUUUGCAUGCUGCAGGACCGUCUUUACCUUUUUCACAAGUCCCACGUGCGAAAUAUGAUUUAUGCUUUUGACAAUUUUUUGGUGCAGGCUUCAACUUAGGUGAAGCUUGCACUCUUGAUAUUCCUAAUAAAUUAAAGAAUCGAUAUGUGAGAAAUGAGUGAGAAGCCUUCAAAAUCUCUCUAAUUAAAAAAGAAAAAUCUUUGUUUUAGUUAUAGAUCUUACUAAGUAUAACAAAUAUUAUGUUAUAGAAAAGACACUUAUUCAUUUAUGUUUUGAUCAAUUAGAUGUUAGAUUUUCUUCCCAAAAUUUUUUGGCUUAUCCUUGAUCUAAUGAUAAUGAUGACUAAAUGUAAUGGAAUCCUUAAAAAAUAAUUAUGAAACCCAUUUCACAUCACAUAUAUAAUAUGAUGUUGAUCAUUUAAAAACAAAUGUGCUUUCAAAGGUUCGAAUUUUGUUAAAGAAAUUGAAACACAUGUAAAUUGCGCUAGUAUUGACAUAUGUUUUUAGCUUUUUGAAUUUUAAAUAUAUAAACGCUAAACUCACGCGAAAUAAUCUGUAUAUUUAAGCGCUAAACAAACUUUUGAGAAAAAAUUACAAGAUUUGAAUAGUAAUCUAGAAAGUAGUUUACACCAAGCUAGGAAGCAAAACAAAAUAGAAUCUUUUUUUAUUACUUUUACUAGUUUUUACACAGGCUAAUAAUUUUCUUAAAAACCAUGUUUAAAAAUAUGAUAAAAAAGUAGUUAUAUGUAAUUUAAACACAAAUAAGAAAAAGAUUUCCAAAAGUAUCAUAAUGUAUAUUACCUGUUAAUAAUAAGAAAAUCAUCAUACAAGUGAUGAAACCAACGAUGAUUACACUUUUAGCCAUUUUUGCUUUUAGUUUCUGAUUUUUUUUGAUAGAAUGCUUAUGAUC
rnacentral:lncRNA from 1 species